rnacentral:rRNA from 1 species
UACGGGGGGGGCAAGCGUUGUUCGGAAUUACUGGGCGUAAAGGGCUCGUAGGUGGCCAACUAAGUCAGACGUGAAAUCCCUCGGCUUAACCGGGGAACUGCGUCUGAUACUGGAUGGCUUGAGUUCGGGAGAGGGAUGCGGAAUUCCAGGUGUAGCGGUGAAAUGCGUAGAUAUCUGGAGGAACACCAGUGGCGAAAGCGGCUCACUGGCCGGAAUCUGACACUGAGGUGCGAAAGCUAGGGUAGCAAACGGG